rnacentral:misc_RNA from 1 species
GUUGUUGAAAAACUCAUUGCAGAUUUUGGGAGUAUACUUUAAAAUGAUUUGAAAUGGCUCAGCUCAAGCAGAUCUAUGUUCAUCUCCUCAACUAAGGGAAGAAAGGCUUACACAGAUGGAAGUCAAUGGAAAGCAAUCACCAGAGAAGUAUGCUGUCGUCACAGGAGCAAACAAGGGCAUUGGCCUUGAGACAGUGAGGCAGCUAGCUUCUCAAGGCGUGACGGUGGUGCUGACGGCUAGAGAUGAGAAGAGAGGGAUAGAUGCAACAUCUUCUCUGCAUAAAAUGGGUUUAACAAGUGUAGUUUUUCAUCAACUUGAUGUUUUGGACCCAAUUAGUAUUGAGUCCUUAGCCAACUUCAUCAGGGACAGAUUUGGAAGGCUUGACAUCUUGGUUAACAAUGCUGGAGCCUCUGGAGUUGUGGUUGAUGAGGCACGUCUAAGGGCCUUAAAUAUAGAUCCUGAAAUAUGGCUUUCAGGCAAGGCAAUUAACAUGAUUCAAGAGGUGAUUAAAACAACUUAUGAGAAGGCUGAAGAAUGCUUAAACACUAAUUACUUUGGUGUCAGAAGAGUAACAGAAGCUCUCCUUCCACUUCUUCAGCUUUCCACUUCAGGGGCCAGGAUAGUUAAUGUCUCAUCUCUCAGGAGUGAGCUAAGGAGAAUCCGACGUGAAGAACUUAGAAAUGAACUUAAUGAUAUAGAGACACUAAAUGAAGAGAAACUGGAAGCAAUAUUGAAGAGAUUUUUGCAUGACUUGAAAGAGCAUAGACUUGAAGCUGGUGGAUGGUCAUUAAUGCUACCAACAUAUAGCAUCUCCAAGGCCACCCUUAAUGCCUACACUAGAGUUCUUGCCAAGAGGUAUCCUAAUAUGCUCAUAAACUGUGUUCAUCCUGGCUAUGUCAACACCGAUCUCAAUUGGCAUACAGGACCGAUGACUGUGGAAGAGGGAGCUAGAGGUCCUGUAAAGUGUGCUCUUCUACCAAAUGGAGGCCCUACUGGUUAUUAUUUUGAUCAAACUGAAGUUGCAGGCUUUUGAUCACCUUGCCGUUUUCUCGUCACAAUUCUCAAUUUCUUUCUACCUGGCUAUGAGCCUCUUUUAACCCCAUAAAAGAUGGGGACAAUAAUAGUUUUGGUUGUUCUUAGAAUAUGAUGGCUCUAGAUAAUAAAACCCAGUUUAGCAUUAUAGCAUAUUCCUAUUUUUGGUUGACAACCAGUUUUUUAAGGCACGUGCAAUGCACGUAUGUCUAUAUCAUUUUUAAUUAUUCUAAAA